rnacentral:rRNA from 1 species
AGAGUUUGAUCCUGGCUCAGAUUGAACGCUGGCGGCAGGCCUAACACAUGCAAGUCGAGCGGUAGCACAAGAGAGCUUGCUCUCUGGGUGACGAGCGGCGGACGGGUGAGUAAUGUCUGGGAAACUGCCUGAUGGCGGGGGAUAACUAGUGGAAACGGUAGCUAAUACCGCAUAACGUCGCAAGACCAAAGUGGGGGACCUUCGGGCCUCACGCCAUCAGAUGUGCCCAGGUGGGAUUAGCUGGUAGGUGGGGUAACGGCUCACCUAGGCGACGAUCCCUAGCCGGUCUGAGAGGAUGACCAGCCACACUGGAACUGAGACACGGUCCAGACUCCUACGGGAGGCAGCAGUGGGGAAUAUUGCACAAUGGGCGCAAGCCUGAUGCAGCCAUGCCGCGUGUGUGAAGAAGGCCUUCGGGUUGUAAAGCACUUUCAGCGAGGAGAAAGGGUAAUGUGUUAAUAAGACAUUGCAUUGACGUUACUCGCAGAAGAAGCACCGGCUAACUCCGUGCCAGCAGCCGCGGUAAUACAGAGGGUGCAAGCGUUAAUCGGAAUUACUGGGCGUAAAGCGCACGCAGGCGGUUUGUUAAGUCAGAUGUGAAAUCCCCGCGCUCAACGUAGGAACGGCAUUUGAGACUGGCAA